rnacentral:rRNA from 1 species
GCGGCGGACGGGUGAGUAACACGUGGGCAACCUGCCCUGCAGACUGGGAUAACUUCGGGAAACCGGAGCUAAUACCGGAUAACACCGAAAACCGCAUGGUUUUCGGUUGAAAGGCGGCUUUUACCUGUCACUGCAGGAUGGGCCCGCGGCGCAUUACCUAGUUGGUGAGGUAACGGCUCACCAAGGCAACAAUGCGUAGCCAACCUGAAAGGGUGACCGGCCACACUGGGACUGAAACACGGCCCAAACUCCUACGGGAGGCAGCAGUAGGGAAUCUUCCGCAAUGGACGAAAGUCUGACGGAGCAACGCCGCGUGAGCGAAGAAGGUCUUCGGAUCGUAAAGCUCUGUUGUCAGGGAAGAACAAGUGCCGUUCGAACAGGGCGGUACCUUGACGGUACCUGACGAGGAAGCCACGGCUAACUACGUGCCAGCAGCCGCGGUAAUAC